AUGGCGAGCUCGACGGCGGCGGAGACGUCUUCUGUACUGCGAGCUCCACCAUCCCUGCACAUACUGUACUGCGAGCUCGACGACGACGGUGGCGUCUUCUUGGAAGAAAUUGGAGCUUGGGUUCUUCUUCUCACCGGCAGCAGCACGAGCAGGCCCGCCGGGGAGGAACAGCAACUUGCAGACGAGCAGCAGGUCGAGGAGAGGAGUGGGGGAGACGACAGGGAGCUCGAGGUUGAGGAUGAACUUCAGUUCCAGGCCCGCCAGGAGCUCCAGGUCCAGGCGCUCGAGACCCAGGCGGGCGCAGGCCCUGGCCGGCGGGAGGGGAUAGCGGGGUAG
rnacentral:rRNA from 1 species